UACGUAGGAUGCAAGCGUUGUCCGGAAUUAUUGGGCGUAAAGAGCGCGCAGGCGGUUUUACAAGUCAGAUGUGAAAGAGGUCGGCUUAACCGGCAAGGGUCAUUCGAAACUGUGAGACUAGAGUACAGCAGAGGAUAGCGGAAUUCCCGGUGUAGUGGUGAAAUGCGUAGAUAUCGGGAGGAACACCAGUGGCGAAGGCGGCUAUCUGGGCUGAAACUGACGCUGAGGCGCGAAGGCUAGGGUAGCAAACAGG
rnacentral:rRNA from 1 species